rnacentral:rRNA from 1 species
AGAGUUUGAUCCUGGCUCAGGAUGAACGCUAGCUACAGGCUUAACACAUGCAAGUCGAGGGGCAGCAUGGUCUUAGCUUGCUAAGGCCGAUGGCGACCGGCGCACGGGUGAGUAACACGUAUCCAACCUGCCGUCUACUCUUGGACAGCCUUCUGAAAGGAAGAUUAAUACAAGAUGGCAUCAUGAGUCCGCAUGUUCACAUGAUUAAAGGUAUUCCGGUAGACGAUGGGGAUGCGUUCCAUUAGAUAGUAGGCGGGGUAACGGCCCACCUAGUCUUCGAUGGAUAGGGGUUCUGAGAGGAAGGUCCCCCACAUUGGAACUGAGACACGGUCCAAACUCCUACGGGAGGCAGCAGUGAGGAAUAUUGGUCAAUGGACGAGAGUCUGAACCAGCCAAGUAGCGUGAAGGAUGACUGCCCUAUGGGUUGUAAACUUCUUUUAUAAAGGAAUAAAGUCGGGUAUGCAUACCCGUUUGCAUGUACUUUAUGAAUAAGGAUCGGCUAACUCCGUGCCAGCAGCCGCGGUAAUACGGAGGAUCCGAGCGUUAUCCGGAUUUAUUGGGUUUAAAGGGAGCGUAGAUGGAUGUUUAAGUCAGUUGUGAAAGUUUGCGGCUCAACCGUAAAAUUGCAGUUGAUACUGGAUAUCUUGAGUGCAGUUGAGGCAGGCGGAAUUCGUGGUGUAGCGGUGAAAUGCUUAGAUAUCACGAAGAACUCCGAUUGCGAAGGCAGCCUGCUAAGCUGCAACUGACAUUGAGGCUCGAAAGUGUGGGUAUCAAACAGGAUUAGAUACCCUGGUAGUCCACACGGUAAACGAUGAAUACUCGCUGUUUGCGAUAUACAGCAAGCGGCCAAGCGAAAGCGUUAAGUAUUCCACCUGGGGAGUACGCCGGCAACGGUGAAACU